AAUGAACGCUGGCGGCAUGCCUUACACAUGCAAGUCGAACGGCAGCAUGACCUAGCUUGCUAGGUUGAUGGCGAGUGGCGCACGGGUGAGUAAUGCAUCGGAACGUGCCCUUUAGUGGGGGAUAACGUAGCGAAAGUUACGCUAAUACCGCAUAUUCUCUGAGGGGGAAAGCAGGGGACCUUCGGGCCUUGCGCUAGAAGAGCGGCCGAUGUCGGAUUAGCUAGUUGGUGAGGUAAAGGCUCACCAAGGCAACGAUCCGUAGCGGGUCUGAGAGGAUGAUCCGCCACACUGGGACUGAGACACGGCCCAGACUCCUACGGGAGGCAGCAGUGGGGAAUUUUGGACAAUGGGCGCAAGCCUGAUCCAGCCAUGCCGCGUGAGUGAAGAAGGCCUUCGGGUUGUAAAGCUCUUUCGUCUGGGAAGAAAUCGAACCCUCUAAUACAGGGUGUGUAUGACGGUACCAGCAUAAGAAGCACCGGCUAACUACGUG
rnacentral:rRNA from 1 species